UCAACUGUAUUAAAGGAAGAGCGGACACACCUUCCAUUUUUCUAAUCAAUUGACAAAUGAGCGCCUGUUUGAGAAUGAAGCCAAACCAGAGGACAAAAGAGCCAAGAGAAAAAAGUUAGGUUCCUGAAGAUGUUUGAGCACCUGGUUACAGCUGUGCCUGAAGGAAACAUACUCUUGAUCCUACUAGGCAAAGGAAGAAACACAUGCAAAGGUCCUGGGGCAGGAGUGUGGCUGGAGCAGAGUAAGAGGUAAGUCCAUAUAAGUUACAGUGGGUUGGGGCUAGGGCUGGUGAGAGAUGAAGGUCAUGUAGGUCCUUUG
rnacentral:lncRNA from 10 species